rnacentral:piRNA from 1 species
UGCCUUGCGUUCUAGUGGACCUG